UUUAGCAUGGGCUUUUUCAAGCUCCUCCUUCUCUGUCUUCAGCCUGUCAUAACUGCUCCGCGGUACCAUUCUUUCAUGCGCCGGGACGCCUUCGCCUCGUGCACUUGCAUUUGCACCGGCACCGACACCCGCCUGAGACUCGGCCAACAACCCGUCCAGUUCUGCCAACCUCUCUAAUAAUUCUCCAUUCUCGGCUUUCAAGUCCUCUAGCUCUUGCUUCCUUAUACCCCAUAUCUUUUGUGCAGGAUUGUUACGAAGUUCAAGGCAUCGUUCGUAAGCGGGGUUGAACUCUCCAGAAGCGACACGUUGCAUGAGAUUGGUGACUUCAGUGUUGAGGGCGGUGUUGGAGGAUGUCAGAUAGGAAACUGAAGAUGAUAGGCCUGCAAUCUCUGUUUCCAAUAUUUUUGAUUAGUGGAUGGGUACGUUGAAGAAGAAGAUGACAAGUCUUACCCUCUUCCAACUGAGAGAUUUUAUCUUGAGCCUUGUCAAGAUCCUGGGAUUUAACGAGCCCCAUACCCUUGGCAAUCCGUUCUUCCGCAUCGCGAGAAUCACGAUGUAUCUCCUCCAAAGUGGUUUUGUACGACUGCAACAAACUUUCCAGUUCCUUUACUCUUUCGGGGUCACCUGAUCCCGCGGAAGGUCCAGGUGUUGCCGCCAGCUGUCGCCUCACCGCCUCAAGCUCCUUUCUCACCAACCCUUCCCUCCGCUCUGCGCUUUCCCUCCCUUCCUUGGCCCACCUCAAUUCCCUUUCGGCUUCCGUAGCACGUCGGCUCAUUUCGCCUACGGCAUCUUUUGAGCUACCUGCAAGGUCGGCAAGACGGGCACGAAGGUCGCGGAUAGUAGAAUCACGCUGGACGAGUGAGGUUGUUGUUUGAGAGUGGAGGGUGGAGAGGGUGGAAAGACGAGCGCGAAGAGUGGCUAUCUCGGAUGGUUCGCUAGAGGCAGGAUCGGGAAGAAUUUGCGUGAGAGAGCUGAUAAGCAAGUCAGCGCCACGUCACACCCAAAAGGUGGAGAUGAACUCACUCCAUAUCUCGUCUUGCGCGUUCAAGCUGCUCUUGCAGUACCCGAAUUUCCUCAUGUAAAGCUCUCUCAAUUUCUUUGGCGGCCCGUUCAACGCCAUCUAUACUCUUCUUUUCGUGCCGGAGAGUGUGAACUUCGGACUUGAGAGCUUCAUUCUCUCGCCAAACUGCCGCAAGAUUGGCUGAUUGUCCUGGGUCCAAGGUCAAAAUUGUGAUCAUAGGAAGAUGGGAAGACUUACGCUUGACUUCCUUCUGCAAAGCGUCAUCCGUUUUCCUUUCAUUGUCUUCAAUUCCCUUUCUAGCCCUUUCCUCCUCCAGCUCUACGCUCAAACUCUUCGCCCUGUUCUCCCACACUUUCAAACUAUUACGUUCCCUCUCAAGUUCGGCUGUUCUCGCCUGCAGAAGACAAAUUUCAUUCUGACUUGACUGCGCCAGACUUGUAUGCCUGGUCGAUAGGAUUGUGUGCUGUGAACGAAGCUCUUCCAGACUGUUGGUUAACGCAAGAUUCCUUUCUCGAAGCAGAGCCACUUCUCCGGUCAAAACCAGCCUGUCUUCGGCCCACCGUUGCUCCGCCUCUUCCCCUUUCCGUCUCUCUUCCAUCUUGGCUUCAAACAGCUCAUAUCUUUCAUUCUUGAGACGCUCGAUCUCCAGCCUCUGUUCCUCGACGUGGGCGGCUAGACGAGAUUCGCGCUGCUGAAGGGUAUGGUUUGUCCGUUCGAGAGAGGUAACGGUGGAAGUGAGGGUCGAUAGAUGUUUGCGGGAAGAUGGAGUGUGAAGAUCAGCGUCCGCGGAUGAUCGUUUCCCAAGUGUGGGAGCCGGGGUUAUUGGCAUAUCGGUUUGUCGAUUAUAGAUGUAGAGUUUAUCGCUGUUGUUUUGGAAAGAGGAUAUGGAGUUGCCGGGGUGUCCUGAUCUGUUGUUAUUUAUUACCUAGGGGACCUCCUUGAGCGACCGUGGGAAGCGG
rnacentral:sRNA from 1 species